rnacentral:rRNA from 1 species
UACGAAGGGGGCUAGCGUUGCUCGGAAUCACUGGGCGUAAAGGGUGCGUGGGCGGGUCUUUAAGUCAGGGGUGAAAUCCUGGAGCUCAACUCCAGAACUGCCUUUGAUACUGAGGAUCUUGAGUUCGGGAGAGGUGAGUGGAACUGCGAGUGUAGAGGUGAAAUUCGUAGAUAUUCGCAAGAACACCAGUGGCGAAGGCGGCUCACUGGCCCGAUACUGACGCUGAGGCACGAAAGCGUGGGGAGCAAACAGG